GCAUAUCAAUAAGCGGAGGAAAAGAACUAMCAAGGAUUCCCCUAGUAACGGCGAAGURAAGCGGAACAGCUCAAGCUURAAAUCUGCACCUUGUAAAAAGGGUGCCRAGUUGUAGCUUUUGGAGGCACUAUUGAGCGGCUAAUCUUGGUAAAAGUCCUUUUGAAUAAGGCAUCAGAGAGGGUGAAAAUCCCGUAUUUGACCAGGAGCAUAAAUUAGCAGCGAUAUCAAGUGUUUUCUUUGAGUCGGGUUGUUUGGGAAUGCAGCCCUAAUUAGGAGGUAAAUUUCUUCUAAAGCUAAAUAUCAGCAAGAGACCGAUAGCAUACAAGUACCGUGAGGGAAAGAUGAAAAGCACUUUGAAAAGAGAGUGAAAAGUACGUGAAAUUGUUGGAAGGGAACCGGUUGAUGACCAAGCUUUUUUGGCUUCCUUUCGGGGGAGUUGGAGGGUCAACAUCGGUUGUUUUAUGGCUAGAAGGGAUUUUGCGGGCUGGCGGGGGAAAGGYAGUAAGCGUUCUGGGUAUUUAUACGUAGGGCGUUUAUGUUAUAGACUCCCACAGGCUCGCUUCAAAAGCUCUAUAGUUGUAGCGACCGAGGAAUGCAGUGUGUUUUUAUCCUUCGGGAUUUAGGGCAGCUUGUAGGGAUGCAUUUUGUGGUGUUUAUCUGGGGCUAGACAGCUUUGCUGACUAGUUCUGGUGCGCCAUAUGUACGCCUUGCAAGGUGACCAAGAAGCACUUUGGAUGUUGGCGAAAAGGCAUCAAUCGACCCGUCUUGAAACACGGACC
rnacentral:rRNA from 1 species